AUCUGACAAAGCUUACAUGAAUGAGAUGAGUUGAAAGCACUACGAAGCUAGUUCUAUGAAAAGUUGUUCUUUACACACCACGUUUCAUUGUCCGUGAUAUUUCCAUGAUGUUGCCUGACAGACAUUAUUUUUUAGCGUAGCCUUGGAAUGACGCUUAAUUUUAUUGUUACAAUACAUUUUUGAUACAAACGUAAGCUUUUCUUGUUUGUUUUCUUUUAUUUUCUUAGUCACACUUUCUGUUGGGAUGGCAAUGUUGAUCGGUCAGUCGAUUCAGCACUUCCACAUUUGAUAUAGGCUGUCCUGACUUUUCAUCUAGCACCAUCAUCAGAUAAAAAAUUUAAUUUGUCCAAUACAUUCGUUUAUGACCAAAUACUUGCAAAGCUAACGACAUUCCCAUCAGCUUCAGCUGCGCUUUGCGUUUACUGUCAAUUAGCUAAUUUUAGCAUGCUAAUGUGCUAAGCUAAGAUGGUGAUGUGUAAGGUUGACCCCAUCAACAAUCAACCAGCUACAUUUAAUUUUUUUUUUACUUUUUCUUCCUCCAAACAUGAGCAUUGAUAUCACCUGACCAAUUAAAAAAAAGCAACCACAUAUUUAAUUUAAAAAAAAAUAAUAAUUUAAUGAGGAAAUUAUUACAGUGUAAGUAUGGCUAUACAGUUGCAAAAAAACAUCAAUGUCAAUUUUUAAGACCACCAUGCUUUAGUAUGAAUCUUAGUUGCCUAAUUAAAGCAAUUCUAGUGCAAAGAGUAUCGUUUGUUAAUACUGGAGACAUAAUCAAAAGCUUCCCACUUUCGCUGUUUUUUUCAUAUCUGGGAGUUCUAUUGAAUUAAAGCAAUGGGAAUAGCUGAUCUCCUUAUCUGUCAAACAGACCGAUUUCACUAUUAACCGCGCUUUAAAACAUUACGGUUAAUCGUAAACGCUCCGCUACACCGAGUGUUGACUGGCUGCAUAUUUUGUGUUUCAUGUUUUUUUUCUUUUUCUUUUACUGUCUAUGGUUAUGUGUAGCAGUGUGUGCAGUUCUUAUUAAACCUCCUUGACAACAUAAACGUUCACUUUUGCGCACACGGUCCGGUCACCGCGAGUAUUGACUGUCAGAGUGAUAUACAACUCCCCGUGGAAGGAUAACUUACUGCUGCAAUUUUUUAACGUUAAAUAAAGUUAGCAAACACCAGGAAAACACAGAGCAGAGCCAGCCCCUGACUUCAGGACAGCUGCAGCUGCAACGGGGAAUUCAACCCAAGUUGGGAGCCGCUGCGUCUGCCGUCAAGUUCAAGAGUCGCCGUUCGAUCCCGAGAUUUGUCUUUAAGAGUGCAGGUUCGGGCGCUGUUCCAGUUUCUCCCUUUUGGUUGCACGGCUGUGGAAAGACACUGGUGAAGAUGUGGAGAGGUCAGAGGGAUAACGUCUGUCGAAGUGGCUUAUGUUUUCUGCUGUUUUUUCUGUUUCACUCCUGACUGCAGUGCAUGCACAGUGUCCACAUUGAGAGUCU